rnacentral:rRNA from 1 species
CCUACGGGGGGCAGCAGUGAGGAAUAUUGGUCAAUGGGCGCGAGCCUGAACCAGCCAAGUCGCGUGAAGGAAGACUGCCCUACGCGUUGUAAACUUCUUUUGUCAGGGAACAAAGUGCGGCACGUGUGCCUUUUUGUGUGUACUUUAUGAAUAAGGAUCGGCUAACUCCGUGCCAGCAGCCGCGGUAAUACGGAGGAUUCGAGCGUUAUCCGGAUUUAUUGGGUUUAAAGGGAGCGUAGAUGGGUUGUUAAGUCAGUUGUGAAAGUUUGGGGCUCAACCGUAAAAUUGCAGUUGAUACUGGCUGCCUUGAGUGCAGUAGAGGUAGGCGGAAUGCGUGGUGUAGCGGUGAAAUGCUUAGAUAUCACGAAGAACCCCGAUUGCGAAGGCAGCAUACUAAACUGCCACUGACGUUGAGGCUCGAAAGUGUGGGUAUCAAACAGGAUUAGAUACCCGAGUAGUC